rnacentral:rRNA from 1 species
UACGAGGGGGGCUAGCGUUGCUCGGAUUUACUGGGCGUAAAGGGCGCGUAGGCGGACAGUUUAGUCAGAGGUGAAAGCCCAGGGCUCAACCUUGGAAUUGCCUUUGAUACUGGCUGUCUUGAGUACGGGAGAGGUGAGUGGAACUCCGAGUGUAGAGGUGAAAUUCGUAGAUAUUCGGAAGAACACCAGUGGCGAAGGCGACUCACUGGCCCGUUACUGACGCUGAGGCGCGAAAGCGUGGGGAGCAAACAGG